rnacentral:tRNA from 1 species
AAUGAAGUGACUGAAUUAAAGUGGUAAAUUGUAAAUUUAUUUAUGGGCUUGUGCCCCUUCAUUA